AAGAAAAUGUAUCUCCAGCUUGCCUCGAAUUAAUAGCAGUUUCUAUGGAAAUGGAUGUUCAUGUCUUUUUUUUUUUCUUUUUUUUCUUUUUCAGUUGUGCAGACAUCACUACUUCAGUACAAAGUAGCAGACCUCUACAGUUCAACCUUUACUUUGUCAUUUCUCCAUCUGUCUAAAUGCGAAUCCAACAUAAACUUUCUGAAGGCUUGAAUGCUAGUCAGUUUCUAUGGAAAUGGAUGUUCAUUGUCUUUUUUUUUCUUUUUUUCUUUUUUCAGUUGUGCAGACAUCACUACUUCAGUACAAAAAUGGCUCAUGAGUCUUCAGCGCAUGUGUGACUUUGAAAGAAUGUGCUUCACCCUGCAGCAAAACCAUAAAAAUAUGAUGUUAGUAAUGUAUGUUUAAGGUUGUAUUAAAAAAGCACUCC
rnacentral:lncRNA from 1 species